rnacentral:rRNA from 1 species
GAUGAACGCUGGCGGCGUGCCUAAUACAUGCAAGUCGAGCGAACGGACGAGAAGCUUGCUUCUCUGAUGUUAGCGGCGGACGGGUGAGUAACACGUGGAUAACCUACCUAUAAGACUGGGAUAACUUCGGGAAACCGGAGCUAAUACCGGAUGAUAUUUUGAACCGCAUGGUUCAAAAGUGAAAGACGGUCUUGCUGUCACUUAUAGAUGGAUCCGCGCUGCAUUAGCUAGUUGGUAAGGUAACGGCUUACCAAGGCAACGAUGCAUAGCCGACCUGAGAGGGUGAUCGGCCACACUGGAACUGAGACACGGUCCAGACUCCUACGGGAGGCAGCAGUAGGGAAUCUUCCGCAAUGGGCGAAAGCCUGACGGGGCAACGCCGCGUGAGUGAUGAAGGUCUUCGGAUCGUAAAACUCUGUUAUUAGGGAAGAACAUAUGUGUAAGUAACUGUGCACAUCUUGACGGUACCUAAUCAGAAAGCCACGGCUAACUACGU